GCACAACAGAAGAAGUUAUAGGCAAUGGAAGUUUGGUGCAAAUCCAACGCGGUCCCGCCACUGUGAUAGACCGAAUUCGCGGUCUUAAGUCAGGUCUUUUGCCUAGUAACUUUGCUGGACCAGUCAUUUCGAGGCGAAAGUGGCUGGUUUAC
rfam:Paenibacillus dendritiformis C454 PDENDC1000025, whole genome shotgun sequence.